ACUCAAAUGAAUUGACGGGGACCCGCACAAGCGGUGGAGCAUGUUGUUUAAUUCGACGCAACGCGAAGAACCUUACCUACGCUUGACAUACCAAGUAUAUUUUCCAGAGAUGGAUUAUUUCAGUUCGGCUGGCUUGGAUACAGGUGCUGCAUGGCUGUCGUCAGCUCGUGUCGUGAGAUGUUGGGUUAAGUCCCGCAACGAGCGCAACCCUUAUCGUCUGUUGCCAUCAUUAAGUUGGGCACUCUGAUGAGACUGCCGGUGAUAAGCCGGAGGAAGGUGGGGACGACGUCAAGUCAUCAUGGCCCUUACGCGUAGGGCUACAAACGUGCUACAAUGGCGGUGACAGUGGGCUGCUAGGUCGUGAGACCAAGCGAAUCCCAAAAAGCCGUCUCAGUUCGGAUUGUUCUCUGCAACUCGAGAGCAUGAAGUUGGAAUCGCUAGUAAUCGUGGAUCAGCAUGCCACGGUGAAUACGUUCCCGGGUCUUGUACACACCGCCCGU
rnacentral:rRNA from 1 species